rnacentral:rRNA from 1 species
CUAAAAUGAGAGUUUGAUCCUGGCUCAGGACGAACGCUGGCGGCGUGCCUAAUACAUGCA